rnacentral:lncRNA from 1 species
GGCUGAAUUGGAAAAGGUACAUAAAAGCAGCAUCGAGAAUUAAUAUAUCUCCAAUAAUCACACAAAUGUCAAACUUGAAUAAAAUGGGAAAUAACCUUUAAGUCUAUACCUAGGCAGAUACUUAUCAAAGGUACCAGGCUUAUAAUUUGAUACGCCAGAUGCGCGUUUCGUCUACAUAAGACUCAUCAGUGACGCACAGAUCAAAAAUAG